rnacentral:rRNA from 1 species
CCUGAGAAACCCAAAAGAUCGAAUGGGGAGAUUCAUCGUCAGCGAUCCUGGCGCGUGUGCGGUUCGUGAUGCCACGAGGCUUAUGUCUCCCGUGGCACGCGUCCGUAUGGUUUUAUUGCCAGGUGUCGUCGGCGUGCACUUCUCCCCUAGUAGGACGUCGCGACCCGUUGGGUGUCGGUCUACGGCCCGGGUGGGCGCCUGUCAUGUGUCACGCUUCACGGCGUCGUGUGGCAGACCCCCGGUUGUCUGGCCGGCUGCUCGGCGGUACUCGCACGGUAUCGGGCCGCAAAUAUUCGAACUGCGUCCGGCCCGCCGCAAGCGAGGUCAGUGUUUCCCGGAUGUACGGACCUAGCGCCGGCACCGGGCCUGGCCAGCUGUUGGUUGGCGGUGUCCUGGGACUGGCUCUUUAUUAAAUUAUGAUACCGGUCGGCGACGCUACUGCUUUGGGUACUUUCAGGACCCGUCUUGAAACACGGACCAAGGAGUCUAACAUGUGCGCGAGUCAUUGGGAACUCUUAAGCCUAAAGGCGCAAUGAAAGUGAAGGUCGGCCCUGCGCCGACCGAGGGAGGAUGGACCGCGUUACGAUGCGGCCCCGCACUCCCGGGGCGUCUCGUUCGCGUUGCGAGAAAAGGCGCACCCAGAGCGUACACGUUGGGACCCGAAAGAUGG